UCUACGGGUGGCAGCAGUGAGGAAUAUUGGUCAAUGGCCGUAAGGCUGAACCAGCCAAGUCGCGUGAAGGAAGAAGGUUCUAUGGUUUGUAAACUUCUUUUAUAGGGGAAUAAAGUUAUCCACGUGUGGAUAUUUGCAUGUACCCUAUGAAUAAGCGUCGGCUAACUCCGUGCCAGCAGCCGCGGUAAUACGGAGGAUGCGAGCGUUAUCCGGAUUUAUUGGGUGUAAAGGGUGCGCAGGCGGCCUGUUAAGUCAGCGGUAAAAGCCCGGGGCUCAACCCCGGCGAGCCGUUGAAACUGGGGGGCUGGAGUGGGAGAGAAGUACGCGGAAUGCGCGGUGUAGCGGUGAAAUGCUUAGAUAUCGCGCAGAACCCCGAUUGCGAAGGCAGCGUACCGGGUCCACACUGACGCUGAGGCACGAAAGCGUGGGUAGCGAACAGGAUUAGAUACCCGUGUAGUC
rnacentral:rRNA from 1 species